rnacentral:rRNA from 1 species
GAGUGAAGCGGCAACAGCUCAAAUUUGAAAUCUGGCCCUUUCAGGGUCCGAGUUGUAAUUUGUAGAGGGUGCUUUGGCGUUGGUUGUGGUCUAAGUUCCUUGGAACAGGACGUCACAGAGGGUGAGAAUCCCGUACGUGGCCGCCAGCCUUCGCCGUGUAAAGCCCCUUCGACGAGUCGAGUUGUUUGGGAAUGCAGCUCUAAAUGGGAGAUAAAUUUCUUCUAAAGCUAAAUACCGGCCAGAGACCGAUAGCGCACAAGUAGAGUGAUCGAAAGAUGAAAAGCACUUUGGAAAGAGAGUCAAAAAGCACGUGAAAUUGUUGAAAGGGAAGCGCUUGCAGCCAGACGUGCCCGCAGUUGCUCACCCAGGCUCUCGCCUGGGGCACUCUUCUGCGGGCAGGCCAGCAUCAGUUCGGGCGGUUGGAUAAAGGUCACUUUCACGUAACUGGCCCUCGGGCUUGUCCUUAUAGAGGUGACGCAACACGGCCAGCCCGGACUGAGGACCGCGCAUCAGCUAGGAUGCUGGCGUAAUGGCUGUAAGCGGCCCGUCUUGAAACACGGACCAAGGAGUCUAACAUCUAUGCGAGUGUUUGGGUGUCAAGCCCGGGCGCGCAAUGAAAGUGAACGGAGGUGGGAACCUUUUAGGCGCACCAUCGACCGAUCCUGAAGUCUUCGGAUGGAUUUGAGUAAGAGCAUAGCUGUUGGGACCCGAAAGAUGGUGAACUAUACUUGGAUAGGGUGAAGCCAGGGGAAACCCUGGUGGAGGCUCGCAGCGGUUCUGACGUGCAAAUCGAUCGUCAAAUCUGGGUAU